rnacentral:lncRNA from 1 species
AGAGCUUUCGAGACGCCGUCCAUGAUACGGUCGUUGAGAUUCUUUAGGAUAUGUAUCUAUACGAUCAGUUAGGCUCAUUAUCACAACUAUCAUAGUAGAUAAGUCUAUUAAUAAAUUUUUUUAUUUAUUUUAAAUUUUUAUAUUUAGAAGCUUCAUAUAUUUAGGUUUGAGCUCGGAAAAGAGAUAUAGGAGAUACAAAUUCAAUCUAACCAUCCAAACAAUGGAUCGGGGGUGUCAUAGCUCUAUAUCAUCGAAUGAAAUAUAUAAAAAUAAUCUGUUCGAGAAUCAAAAUAGUAUAUUGAAAUAUAUAUCUUCAUAUCGAUAUAUAUAUAUAUAUAUUUUUAUAUCAAAAUUUAUUAAUAAUAUUUUAUUUUUUUUAUUACAGGAUGUUGGGAUAUUCAGCUCUCAUCCAUCAGCUACUGGAGAGGACGUAC